rnacentral:rRNA from 1 species
UACGUAGGGCGCAAGCGUUGUCCGGAAUUAUUGGGCGUAAAGAGCUCGUAGGCGGCCUGUUACGUCUGCUGUGAAAUCCCGGGGCUUAACCCCGGGCGUGCAGUGGAUACGGGCAGGCUGGAGGCAGGCAGGGGAGAACGGAAUUCCCGGUGUAGCGGUGAAAUGCGCAGAUAUCGGGACGAACACCGGUGGCGAAGGCGGUUCUCUGGGCCUGUACUGACGCUGAGGAGCGAAAGCGUGGGGAGCGAACAGG